UUUUUGUGUUUGUGUUAAUUCUUGUCAUUGCGUAUUCUUCUAUCCUCUAGUUGAAAUUCAUAACUUUUUAUUCUUUAGUAGGUAUGCUACGAAAUACAUGACACUUAAUUUAUCAAACCCAAAGUUAUUUAAGACAUUUUUCUGAAGGGGAUUUAGAAUUAAAGCCUAGAUGGUAAACCUCCAGAGUUUAUUCUUUUAACACCUGUUUCCAUUUUCAUUGCAGAUUGAGAAAUUAAGGUCGCAUCAUAUAAGUGAAGUUGAACACUACUUUUCUAAUACCCUACAUCAGGUACGUUCCUAAAUAAACUGGAACUUACCUCAGAAGCCUCAGAAAAUUAGGAAAAUAAAAUGCAUUACUUUGUAUAUUAAGAAGCUCAAAAUCCCAUAUUUGAUUCACUAUAGAAUUACUUCAGAAUCUCAUAUGUUGUUUAAGCAAAACCUGUCUCAUAUUAAAACAUACCUACUGCUGUGUUGUCUAUUUGCUUUUCUCUUUUUAAAUGCCCUUUUGAGAAAUGCUGCAAAAAUUUUGUCCUGACAUGUGGGGGCCCAACUGUUUCCUGCUAUACUCAGCUUGGAGGACAUAGCCUCUAGGUUAUACUCUUUUGAAAUUGUCCUGUUGAAAUGCAUGUUUUGAUUUUGGGAUUUUCCAGAUGCUUCCUAAGUAGGUCCCAUGUGUUAAAACUUGUGGAAAUUCAGCAUGUUUCUCAAUGUGAGGCAUCUAAGUAGUUCACAAAUUUAAGGCAAUUAGUCUAUUACUGGGAUAAGACGAUUAAUUCUAUUAUAUUCCAUUGUUUACAUAUUACUUGUUUAAUCCAUUUCCUAUUCUAUGCUUUGUUUUUUCAUUUGUCUGAAUUAUUAAAAGUCACUACAUUUUAACAUUUUAAGCAAUUUAAUUUUUAUAUAUAAUUAUAUCCUUUGGCUAUUUAAACUGAAGACACAUUGUAUAUGUAAAUCAAAUUAAGAAAAAUAAAUGGAGAGUGUGUUCACUUACAACAGGAGGCUAUCGCUGUGCUAAAACUUUCUGCUGCUUUUGAGUCUUGGAAUUGUGGAAUCACAUAAUAUUUAAAAAAAUUAGAAAGAACUUUAAAUACCAUGUCCACAGACUUUCUCACUUUUCCAAUGAGAAAACUGAGACCAAGAAUGUUUAACAGACAGGUAAUGCCUGAAUUAGUCCUAGAAUCCAGAUUUCCUUAUUAUUUACAUGAAGUCCAGA
rnacentral:lncRNA from 1 species